AGAACGAACGCUGGCGGCAGGCUUAACACAUGCAAGUCGAACGGUUGUAGCAAUACAGCAGUGGCGGACGGGUGAGUAACACGUGGGAACCUUCCUAGGGGUACGGAACAACUCAGGGAAACUUGAGCUAAUACCGUAUACGUCCGUGAGGAGAAAGAUUUAUCGCCCCUAGACGGGCCCGCGUAGGAUUAGGUAGUUGGUGAGGCAACGGCUCACCAAGCCUACGAUCCUUAGCUGAUCUGAGAGGAUGAUCAGCCACACUGGGACUGAGACACGGCCCAGACUCCUACGGGAGGCAGCAGUGGGGAAUCUUGGACAAUGGGCGCAAGCCUGAUCAGCCAUGCCGCGUGAGUGAAGAAGGCCUUCGGUUGUAAAGCUCUUUACCAGGGACGAUAAUGACGGUACCUGGAGAAUAAGCCCGCAAACUUCG
rnacentral:rRNA from 1 species